rnacentral:lncRNA from 1 species
CCCACAUCCGUAAUGCCCGUAGGAUUUAGAGUGCUUCCAUCCAACGAUUCAGAUGAGUCCCCCAUAUAAGUAAAGUAGUCGAUUGGAAACAGAGACUGUGGGUAAAUUUAAUAAAAAAUUAAAUAACCCAAAACUGUUAAAAAAUAAGGGAUUGAAUCAGUGUGGAGAGGAGAUAGUCAAAUUCGUACCGAAAACCCAAAAAUUCCUGAAAUCAUUUCCAGACAUAGUAAAAUCAGAUCAUGAAAUUAAUUUCCAAUUGAAGUGCAGUCGUAUGAGGCUGAAGUAAAUUUGAAAUCGCUGAGAGAAAUUGAAGACGAUUAUAUCAGUGUGGCAGCCAACGGAGGCCAACAUUGGGCGGAGCCAAAACGCUAGGAAUUGGGCAAAUGUAAUUAUUCGGAAAAAGGAUGGAAAGAAGCCUGUUUCAUCCGUUCAUUAGCUGUUCGAUUGGAAGCAGCAAGUAACCACUGAUAAGAAAUUUUAAAUUUUAUUUGAAAGGUUUAAUUGUGGUAAUUAGGUUAGGAUUGUCGGUUAUGUUUUUUAUGGAAGAAUUAGAGAAGAGGAGAAUGCUUUCCAGGGAGCAUUAUCUAAUUUCUUUGUAACAAGCGCAGGACAGAAGAAGCAAGAUGAUAUUUGGCAAUUGGAGAAGAAAUUGAAUCCUCCAAGAAAUUUCUCGCCUUUUCCUCUUUCAAUCCACUGCUGCUUGCAAUAUAAUUAAACAUUGACAAUUUGUUGCUUAUAUCACAUCAUCGCACUCUUAUCAAUAAACAUAAUCGUCUUUAGUUUCAUUAAAUUACGAAUAGCAACUCUUUCAACUACAAGGAACCAUUUUUUUCCACGAAUUACCUUCUUCGUUCGGUUCGUAUUGGGC